rnacentral:tRNA from 1 species
GGAGAGAUAGCUCAGUGGAUAAGAGCACUGUCUGCUCUUGCAGAGGACCUAGGCUCAAUUCCCAGUAUCUACA